rnacentral:rRNA from 1 species
UUACAUUAUUUUAACUGCAGUCCAGCNCCCCUGUGAAAAUGCCCUUCUUUACCUAUUAGUAAAUAAGGAGCGGAUAUCAGGCACAAUUUAUGCCCAUAACAUCUUGCCAAGCCACACCUCUACAGGAAUUCAGCAGUGAUAAACAUUGAAAAAUAAGCGUCAAUAAGCUCGAAUCAGUAAUAAUUUUAAGAGUUGGUAAAUUUCGUGCCAGCCACCGCGGUUAUACGAGAAACUCAAAUUAAUAAAAACGGCCUAAAGCGUGAUUAAAUUAUAUUAAAAUAAAUAGAAAUAAAAAUUAACUCGACUGUUAUACGUAUAUGUUAAACGGUAAACCAAAAACGAAAGAUAUUCUAACAAAUAAACUACUUGAACCCCCGAAAGCUAAGAAACAAACUAGGAUUUAGAUACCCUACUAUGCUCAGCCUUAAACUUUGGAACAACCCGCCUGAGUACUACGAGCCACAGCUUAAAACUCAAAGGACUUGGCGGUGCUCUACACCCCCCUAGAGGAGCCUGUUCUAUAAUUGAUACCCCCCGCUAAACCUCACCACUAAAAAUAGUAGGCAUAAUGAUAAACAUAAACAGGUGUAGGUCAAGGUGUAGCGAAUUAGGUGGAAAGAAAUGGGCUACAUUUUUUAAACUAGAAAAUUCGAUAGAGUGUUCUUUUUAAAUAGGCCAUAGAGGGGGCACACACCGCCCGUCACCCUCCUCAGAAAAACAACUAAUUUAUAUAAAAGAAAAGAAGCC